rnacentral:misc_RNA from 1 species
UCCGGCUUAUCACCGGCAGUUUCCUCAGAGUGCUCAGCCUAACCUGUUAGCAACAGAGGACGAGGGUUGCGCUCGUUGCGGGACUUAACCCAACAUCUCACGACACGAGCUGACGACAGCCAUGCAGCACCUGUGCAUCUCCCACCCGAAGUGAAGGGAUCCUUUUCGGGAUCCCAUAGAGAGCAUGUCAAGCCCUGGUAAGGUUCUUCGCGUUGCCUCGAAUUAAACCACAUGUUCCACCGCUUGUGCGGGUCCCCGUCAAUUUCUUUGAGUUUUAAUCUUGCGACCGUACUCCCCAGGCGGGGUGCUUAACGCGUUAGCUACGCUACUGAGAGGUAACCUCCCAACAGCUAGCACCCAUCGUUUACAGCGUGGACUAC